CGAAUGCUGACAUAAGUAACGAUAAAGCGGGUGAAAAGCCCGCUCGCCGGAAGACCAAGGGUUCCUGUCCAACGUUAAUCGGGGCAGGGUGAGUCGACCCCUAAGGCGAGGCCGAAAGGCGUAGUCGAUGGGAAACAGGUUAAUAUUCCUGUACUUGGUGUUACUGCGAAGGGGGGACGGAGAAGGCUAUGUUGGCCGGGCGACGGUUGUCCCGGUUUAAGCGUGUAGGCUGGUUUUCCAGGCAAAUCCGGAAAAUCAAGGCUGAGGCGUGAUGACGAGGCACUACGGUGCUGAAGCAACAAAUGCCCUGCUUCCAGGAAAAGCCUCUAAGCAUCAGGUAACAUCAAAUCGUACCCCAAACCGACACAGGUGGUCAGGUAGAGAAUACCAAGGCGCUUGAGAGAACUCGGGUGAAGGAACUAGGCAAAAUGGUGCCGUAACUUCGGGAGAAGGCACGCUGAUAUGUAGGUGAGGUCCCUCGCGGAUGGAGCUGAAAUCAGUCGAAGAUACCAGCUGGCUGCAACUGUUUAUUAAAAACACAGCACUGUGCAAACACGAAAGUGGACGUAUACGGUGUGACGCCUGCCCGGUGCCGGAAGGUUAAUUGAUGGGGUUAGCGCAAGCGAAGCUCUUGAUCGAAGCCCCGGUAAACG
rnacentral:rRNA from 1 species